rnacentral:tRNA from 1 species
AGUGGAGCAGUUGGUAGCUCGUCGGGCUCAUAACCCGAAGGUCGUAGGUUCAAAUCCUGCCUCC